AUGUAUGGAAAGUCUCUGCAGCCAGAGGGGGCAGGUGUUCAGUUUCCUUGUGGCAGACCUGGGGGUUUGAAGAAUCAAAGUUAUGGUGGAUCGUCUGUUUCCAACGGGGUACAAGAUGAAAUUCGAGAUCCGUCUGUUCAUCCUUGGGGAGGUUUGACGACGACGCGUGAGGGUUCACUUACUCUUAUGGACUGCUACUUGUAUUCGAAGUCUUUGAAAGGAUUGCAAAUCGUAUUUGACGGCGCGCGUGCUAGAGAGCGGGAAAGAGAACUGCUUUAUCCCGAUGCCUGUGGUGGUGGAGGCCGUGGUUGGAUAAGCCAAGGGAUAGUGAGUUAUGGGUAG